ACCGCGGGUGCAUGGGCUCUGGCUGGCGCUGUGCUCUUGGGGACUGACCCCGAGCUUUGCCGGGCCGGGGGGAGAGAGAGAAAAGAGAAAAGUUCGGCCUUUGGAGCCGGAGUGGCUUUAGGCACCUGCAACCUCUUCUUCCCGGUCUAACCCCAUUUUACCUUGUACCCAAGGGGUGGGAAACUAAAUUAUUCAGAUAAUCCAGUCCAGCCACUUCCAAAGUCGGAUGUCAACCUAGAUAUCCAAAUUACUGAUAAAUUGUGGGCUUUGGGACGGGAGGAGGGAGGAAACGGGGCGCACUUGAAAUGUUUUAAAUACUGCUUUAAAUAUCUCUGCGCUUCGGGGGACGCCGAAUGAGGUUCGACUGGCGGUCACGGGGAGAGACGAUUCAGCGGCCCAUUUUUUAUGGGGAAUCCCUCCCUCCCUUUGGUCCCUACUCCUAUUCUAGCCACCGACCCCGUUGGUGCGGCCAGGUUGCCGCGCCGGGUGGGUUUCGAGUCUGGAACAGCGGGAAGGUGAGCGUUAGAGUGAGAGUCGUUUGGGAGAUGCCUCGGGGUUGCCCUGGAGGGCUGGCGAAAAGAGGUACCGUUUACACGUUGUGGGACAAUGGGAAAAGGAGGACCUGAGGAACGAGGCUGUCCUUUCAAGUUACGUGAUGAGAGCAUCUGCGGGGAGAUCGAUGGGCAGGAGUAAACUCGCCAGUGUGCCCUAAGCGCUCUCGGGGCAAUGUUAGUUUGGGAAAUAACUACUUCAUGUUCCAGACGCUGUUUCCUCGAGUUAUGUCAUCUCGAGUUCUGGAGCCGAGCUGCUGCCCUGGACUGGUGCGCCGAGGUCCGCAGCUGCCGUUCCGCCGGGCGAUGGGGAAAUCCUCCCCGGAGAGGACCGGAGACGCAAGUUUUCUGCAACUGCAGUGCCACUGGUGUCCAGAGGUUUAAACCAGCCCUGACUCUUCUAGAGUGGAGACUAUAGAGAAUUCAGGUGCACUAGGUUCCAGGCUUGUACGUGUUGGCUGCUCCAUCCGCUGACCACACCCUGGUCCUGACAAUCACUACACUGAGUCUAUUUUUGAAGACAAUGUACAUAUGAGCUAGACACGAAAACAUUUGAAAAGUCAAGAACACUUAAAAUAACGGCUCAGUAUAUGAGUGUAACUUGAUUAUAGAAGAUGCCUAUGUUUUAUUUUCAAUAAAAGGUUUUUAGUGACUCUUCAGCAAUGCUAAAAGCUGAGUUGAAUUUCUUACAUUAUAAGGAAAUGGGCCAUAAUUCGAUUAUUAUGUAAUAUUAGUAUUUUAUUUCAAGUGUUCUUAUUUCAUUGUUGUUUCUAAAUUUCAGCUGUUUAAAGUGACUUCAAAUUUUAUUAAGAUAAUCUUAAUAGUUUUACUGAUUUCCAAACUUGUAAGUGCAAUGAAUCUACAGUUCUACUUGGAAAGAUAACCAUUUUAAGUUGAUUGAGAAUGACAUCACACUCACACCUGCAAAAUCUAAAAUGUCUAAUAAAGUAGAUUCCUAUGUCUGAACUUCAAUUUUAGGGCACAGCUGUAGAUGCAGGAUUGAUGCCAUCUGGUGAAAUUCCACAGAAUAAGAGAGAAAAUUUACCCAGAGUGUGCCAUGUACUGGCUUUUCUGGGAAUGACAUGGUGCCAGGAUUUGUUUUUGGUUCACUUGCAGGGGUGGAAACUUGGAACUAGAUGGAAAUCUUGCUUUCCUUUUGGGAAUCAAGACGGACUGCUAUCUCGAAGUUACUGGACUGAACAGUGGCUUAAACAAAGUAGGGGUUUUGUUUGGUUCUCACGUAAUGAGGAGGUCAGAGGUGGGCUAUUGCUGGUGUUGGUUCAGCAGCUCACGGAUGUCAGGGUCAAGGUGGCCCCUGAGGUUCCAUUGGCUUUUCCUUCAGGUUCCAAGAUGGUUGCUGCAGCUCCCCGAGAGAGGAUGGAGGAAACCCAGAGGGAAAACAGGGUGUGCCAGUGUGAAUCUGCUUCCUUUAAAGAGCUUUCUCAGCAGCCCAACAACUUCUACUUAAAUCUCAUUGGCCAGACUGUGUCAUUGGCUACUGCUAUCCAAGAGAAAUGUAGUUUUUGUAGCUGGACGUAUAACUGCCUUCAACAAAAAUCUGAGUUCUCUUGAUAAGGAAGA